rnacentral:lncRNA from 1 species
GUCUCACUGCAUGCCUGUAGUGCCAGCUACUCAGGAGACUGAGGUGGGAGGAUCUCUUGAGCCCAGGAGGUCGAGGUGGCAGUGGCCCAUGAUUGCAUCACUGUACUCAGUCUGUCUGCACUACCAUUGUGAGCUGUUAACACUCACUGUGAAGGUCUGCAAAGGUCUGCGGCUUCACUCCUGAAGUCAGCAAGACCACAAACCCACCAGAAAGAAGAAAUUCCAGACACAUCUGAACAUCUGAAGG